rfam:Myotis brandtii contig311391, whole genome shotgun sequence.
AGCGGUUCUCAGGUGAUGCACCCCAGAAUCGGGCUCCCUCCUCUCUGAUUCCGGGUGCAUCACCUGAGAACCGUG